GACGAACGCUGGCGGCGUGCUUAACACAUGCAAGUCGAACGGUAAGGCCCUUCGGGGUACACGAGUGGCGAACGGGUGAGUAACACGUGGGUGAUCUGCCCUGCACUUCGGGAUAAGCCUGGGAAACUGGGUCUAAUACCGGAUAGGACUCCUGGCUUCAUGGUUGGGGGUGGAAAGCUUUUGCGGUGUGGGAUGGGCCCGCGGCCUAUCAGCUUGUUGGUGGGGUAAUGGCCUACCAAGGCGACGACGGGUAGCUGGUCUGAGAGGAUGAUCAGCCACACUGGGACUGAGACACGGCCCAGACUCCUACGGGAGGCAGCAGUGGGGAAUAUUGCACAAUGGGCGAAAGCCUGAUGCAGCAACGCCGCGUGAGGGACGACGGCCUUCGGGUUGUAAACCUCUUUUAGUAGGGAAGAAGCGAAAGUGACGGUACCUGCAGAAAAAGCACCGGCUAACUACGUGCCAGCCGCCGCGGUAA
rnacentral:rRNA from 1 species